rnacentral:tRNA from 1 species
GGGGUGGUGGCGCAGUUGGCUAGCGCGUAGGUCUCAUAGCUUGAUGAAACGUGAGCAAUCCUGAGGUCGAUGGUUCGAGCCUCUCUCACCCUA